CAUGUUUCUCACACAUUCAUCUGCGGCAGGAACAAUGGGAGGUGUUUGGAUUCUGAUCUUAUGUGCAGUGGCUUUUUGGCCUAAAGGCUCUUGCUUGCCAAUUGCUCAAAAUGGAGGAAUGCAUCAUGAGGUGCAAAAGACUAAAAACUUUUUGACCUACAAUGGAGUUUCGCUGACGAAACCGAUUGCUUCACUCCAGUCGUUGGAUUCCAGGUUGUUGCAAACUUCUAGAGAAGUCCAACUGGAAACCAAUGAAGUGGACGUGUCAAGUGACGCCGCCCACAACGUGUCAAGUGACGCCGCCCACAACGUGUCAAGUGACGCCGCCCACAACGUGUCAAGUGACG